rnacentral:tRNA from 1 species
AAGGUCCUAGCUUAAUUAAAGUACCUGGGUUGCAUCCAGGGGAUGCGGGAUAAUAGCCUGCGGACUUUA